UGGAGUAUAGCCAAGUGGUAAGGCAUCGUUUUUUGGUACCGGCAUGCAAAGGUUCGAAUCCUUUUACUCCAG
rnacentral:tRNA from 1 species